rnacentral:rRNA from 1 species
AGACGGGGGGGGCGAGCGUUGUUCGGAAUUACUGGGCGUAAAGGGCGCGCAGGCGGCUUGGGAAGUCUUGGGUGAAAGCCCCCAGCUCAACUGGGGAAUGGCCUGAGAAACCACUAGGCUGGAGUGCUGGAGAGGGAAGCGGAAUUCCCGGUGGAGCGGUGAAAUGCGUAGAUAUCGGGAGGAACACCAGAGGCGAAGGCGGCUUCCUGGACAGACACUGACGCUGAGGCGCGAAAGCUAGGGUAGCGAACGGGAUUAGAAACCCCGGUAGUCC